rnacentral:piRNA from 1 species
UUCAGUUCUAUGGUUUCAUUC